rnacentral:rRNA from 1 species
GCCUAACCUAACAUGCAAUUAAAACACCAAUUGCUCGCCAAAUAACUACGAGUAAAAACUUAAAAUUUAAAAGACUUGACGGUACUUCACACCACCCUAGAGGAGCCUGUCUAAUAACCGAUAUUCCACGAUUAACCCAACCCAUCCUAGCCCAAUCAGUCUAUAUACCGCCAUCGCCAGCUCACCUUGUAAAAGAAACAUAGCGAGCCUAAAAGCACCACCACUAAUACGAUAGGUCGAGGUGUAACUAAUGGGUGGGAAUCAGAUGGGCUACAUUUUCUAGAAUAGAAAAUACGAAUAGACUAUGAAAGUAGAAACCGAAGGAGGAUUUAGUAGUAUGUUAAGGACAAAAUGCUUAACCGAAAUAAACGCAAUGAAGUGCGUACACACCGCCCGUCAUCCCUGCCAACACCCAAUAAAUCUCUAUAAACUAACAUAAACUACCAAACAGGGCAAGUCGUAACAUGGUAAGCGUACUGGAAAGUGCGCUUAGAAA